ACUCCCCUCGCUCUCUCAUCUGCAGGUGAAGAGCGUUGCUCAGCUCAGCACCAAAGAGCAAAGGCAUCGAAGCCAGCGUCACUCCAACCCCUCCUCUCGCCCGGCGCCGGAGAAUCCCACUUAAAGACACACAGUGGAGUGGUAGUUAAAUCAAGCUACCUGAUUCUCUGGCUUCCGCUAUUGCCCUAACAUUGGAUGAGAGUUUCCCCUAAUUACCGUUAAGGGGACACACGAGUGAUUUGUUCGCUAACCCUAACAAUUUUCUUAACCCUUUUCCUCAGUUUCCUAACCUGCUGCGUAAAUUCGAACCUGAAAGUCACUUCGGUAGCGAAUAGUUUUUCCGUCUGGAAAGGGUGAGACUUGUGGACUCUAGGACCUGACUCUAUCUCUUCUUCAGAUAUGAUGUAGUACAUGGGAUACUCUGUCAUUCAGCGUGGGACGCCAGAGAAUGCUGAUGCACUGGGCACCAGAGCCUGUGCCCCCUGGAACACCACGACAGGACGCCUACCAAGGGUCAGGAGAGGGGAAGGGAUCUCCUGUCUGACCCCCGACGACCACCCUCUCUGCCCAAAUGGUUUAUUCAUAUACCAGGCUACCAGUAUGAGAACAGACACAGGGCAGUGUACUAUGCACAGGGCUUAACUCCUAACAUGGCAGCCUGUGAGGUACUGGUACUGUAGAUAUGGUACAUUUACUGCAUAAUACCACAACCUACUCGAGGGUCAGAGCACAGCGGGCAAACUGUUUGAAAUGACAAACUCAAAGACAAAUCCUCACACACAUAGGUAGACCGACAGUACAGCAAAGUAUUUCUCAUAGUGUCGACACAUGCCCUCCAGAAAUCCAAACCCAGGAACAUAUGGCUGCAUCUCAUUCAACAGACGCUGCUCACCUCCAAUCCACCUUAGCACAUUACUUUAGGGGCUAACACAUACACAGACAUGCGCAUACAUAGAAUUGACAUGAACGCGCAUGCACACAAACACACACACAGAAUUAAUUAUUGAUUGAUAAACGGAUUGAUAGAUACCGUUGA